AAUUGCUUAUGGAGUAGAAAAUGAACAGAGGACUGAGAGGAAACAUUGAUACCUUCCUUCUCCUCCUGAGCAAACAGAGACCUGAUCUCUCUAGCCUUUCUUAAAACACAGAGCAGGUUUUAUGUCAUGUUUACAUGAGAAAUCCCCUCCUCCCUGCUGUCUCUUUCCGAUUCACCCAACAGAUUAUCACACAUCACUGCCCAUGCCAGGAAAUUUGCAUAUUUUCUCCUAGAGAGGACAUUCUGUGCCCGUCUGACAUAAAAGCUCAACUCUAACCUUGCGGUGACUGAUCGGGUUUCCUCGGUUCAGCUUCACAGAAUGAGGCUCCCUGCUCAGAUCCUGGGGCUGCUGAUGCUCUGCGUUCCUGGGUUCGUGGCCCAUGCUGUGUUGGUCCAAACUCCAGCCUCCCUGUCUACCACGCCUGGAGAGCCGGUCUCCAUCUCUUGCAGGUCUAGUAAGAGCCUCCUCCAAACCGAUGGGUACACCUACUUGAGUUGGUUUCUGCAGAAACCAGGGCAGCCUCCAAAACGCCUGAUGUACGUAGUCUCCAGAUUGGAUUCUGGGACCCCAGACAGGUUCAGUGGAAGUGGGUCAGGGACAGAUUUCACACUGCAGAUUAGCAGGACGGAGGCUGAGGAUGCUGGAGUUUAUUACUGCCAACAGCUUACACAUUUCCCUCCCACAGUGCUACAGCCCCGAACACAAACCUUUCUGCCUGAGUUGACUUGA